GAUGAACGCUGGCGGCGUGCCUAAUACAUGCAAGUCGAGCGAACAGAUGAGGAGCUUGCUCCUCUGACGUUAGCGGCGGACGGGUGAGUAACACGUGGAUAACCUACCUAUAAGACUGGGAUAACUUCGGGAAACCGGAGCUAAUACCGGAUAAUAUAUUGAACCGCAUGGUUCAAUAGUGAAAGACGGUUUUGCUGUCACUUAUAGAUGGAUCCGCGCCGCAUUAGCUAGUUGGUAAGGUAACGGCUUACCAAGGCAACGAUGCGUAGCCGACCUGAGAGGGUGAUCGCCCACACUGGAACUGAGACACGUUCCAGACUCCUACGGGAGUCAGCAGUAGCGAAUCUUCCGCAAUGGGCGAAAGCCUGACGGAGCAACCCCGCGUGAGUGAUGAAGGUCUUCGGAUCUUAAAACUCUGUUAUUAGGGAAGAACAAAUGUGUAAGUAACUAUGCACGUCUUGACGGUACCUAAUCAGAAAGCCACGGCUAACUACGUG
rnacentral:rRNA from 1 species